UUUCAUUUAUAGCUGGUGUGCAGUCAAUAUCAAGUCUGCUAUCUCCAGUUGCCAUGAGUCCACUGACAUCAUGGUUUCUAUCUAGCAAUGCCCCUUUCAACUGCAAAGGUUUUAGCAUCAUAUGCGCAUCCAUAUGCAUGAUGGUUGCUUUUUGCAUUGCUUGCAAGCUUAAACUGGUCGAACGCUCUUCAGAGGAUAUUGAAACACCACUACUAACUGAUAGUUAAUUCUAUUUCUGCAUCCCAAGCUCUGCAUUGGUGGGAACUUCAUGUAGUGAAUCUUCCAAAGGAAAAUAUUAGAGACACCAAAGAGUUUUCCCCAGUCUCGCAUUAUCUGAGUCUCAUCAAAUGAUAAAAAUUAUGUAGAACCCAUGUAGGUUCCACUCUAUGUGUUGUGUUUAGAAGUUAAGUUAGAUAGAACUGCUCUCCACCAAAUACUUUGUGUAGUCCUUGGGCGGAUAUUGUAAAUAUUUUUUUGUUGUGGGGUAUUGUAAAUAUUUUACAUCCUUGAGCAAACUGAGUACGUUUUCCCCCAAAAACAUUUGUCCUCUA